AAAAUCUUUUGAAUCUUUUUGCAGCAGUGAGCUUUAGGUGUUUUCCAGAUGAAGUGUUGGACCAAAUGAGCCUACCUGUGUGUCAUUGUAAGGAGUCAGUAAAGGCAGCUUCUGUUUAAAGAUCUCUGCUUACUGCAUAGUGCAUCAUUUUUUCACAAUAUUGGAAGCCUGGCCAUGUGCAGAGAUUUUCUUAUCUAAGGAUACCAGCUGUUUACUGGAGGAUGAAACUAGUUGUUCCUUUCUCAAGCAAUGUCUGUCACAAGGAGACAAAAAUCACAGCACCACUGUGGGUGUGUUACAUAAAUUGCCACAAUGGAGUGUAUUUCAGAUCCUUCAUCUCAGAGGCCAUCUGUCAUUGAAAGUGGCACAUUCACCUGCCCAUCACUUCUCCAGCAGUGUAUGCACUAGACAGGGCACAUCCCCAUGAAGUUAACAACAGGAGCAGCUCUUCAUACAGCUGACUUUGGAAAGACUUAGUAAUCAAGUCACUCUUUCAGAGGGGAACAAACAGCACAAAUAGAUUUUUCUAUCUGUCCAAAAGAACAACAAAUGCUUUUUGUUUUGUUUCAGAAAAGAGAAAACUAGUUCCCUGAAGGAUAUUUCUGAGUAGAAUCCAACAUUGCUUCUGUAAGCUCAGCUCUUCUGUCUCUGACCCUUGACAGGUAAUCACAGAGUUCUAAUAAGAAGAAUUAUCCUCAAGUCCUUGAAUGGAUCCAGACAGGAUUCAGCAUUUUUAUGACUGUUAAUCCUUAUAUAUUUCUCUCCAUUUUCCUUCCACUUUUGUAUUCCCUUUAACUUGAUGAAGUGGGAGUAAGACAGGCAUGAUGUUGAGCAUUUUUAAUAUUAUUUGUCUGGAGUGUUUUUUGAUUUGAGAAUAUGUAUGCAUUUCUGUAUUUGUCUAACUUUUCCUUGUUCUUUGUUUAAUGCAAACUGUAAGCUGUUGAAAGAGGAACUUGACAGAGUGGAUGUGUACUCAUAAUUUGCUCAAAGAACUUCAACUGUGGGUCAGAGAUUUUUCUUUCUAAUCAGUGAAAAUGUACAUAACCUUUCUGUCUGCUGUAAAUGUUCCCGUCUGUAAAAUGAGGCUUUACUUGCCUGCCUCACAGGCAUGUUGAAGCUUAAUUAGUAUAAGUAAUAAACGCUAAGUUUUAUUUUAAAA